CCUACGGGGUGCAGCAGUGGGGGAUAUUGCACAAUGGGGGGAACCCUGAUGCAGCGACGCCGCGUGGGUGAAGGAGUGCUUCGGCAUGUAAAGCCCUAUCGGCAGGGAAGAAGCAAGACGGUACCUGACUAAGAAGCACCGGCUAACUACGUGCCAGCAGCCGCGGUAAUACGUAGGGGGCGAGCGUUAUCCGGAUUCACUGGGUUUAAAGGGAGCGUAGGCCGGCUUUUAAGUCAGCUGUGAAAGUCCGCGGCUCAACCGUGGAAUUGCAGUUGAAACUGGAGGCCGUGAGUGCACACAGGGAUGCCGGAAUUCAUGGUGUAGCGGUGAAAUGGUUAGAUAUCAUGAAGAACUCCGAUCGCGAAGGCAAGUGUCCGGGGUGCAACUGACGCUGAGGCUCGAAAGUGCGGGUAUCAAACAGGAUUAGAUACCCCAGUAGGC
rnacentral:rRNA from 1 species